AUAUCAAUAAGCGGAGGAAAAGAAACCAACAGGGAUUGUCUUAGUAACGGCGAGUGAAGCGACAAAAGCUCAAAUUUGAAAUCUGGCAACUUCGGUGUCCGAGUUGUAAUUUGAAGAAGGUAACUUUGGAGUUGGCUCUUGUCUAUGUUCCUUGGAACAGGACGUCACAGAGGGUGAGAAUCCCGUGCGAUGAGAUGUCCAACUCUAUGUAAAGUGCUUUCGAAGAGUCGAGUUGUUUGGGAAUGCAGCUCUAAGUGGGUGGUAAAUUCCAUCUAAAGCUAAAUAUUGGCGAGAGACCGAUAGCGAACAAGUACAGUGAUGGAAAGAUGAAAAGAACUUUGAAAAGAGAGUGAAAAAGUACGUGAAAUUGUUGAAAGGGAAGGGUUUGAGAUCAGACUUGGUAUUUUGUAUGUCUUGCUUUCGGGUGGGGCCUCUGCAGUUUACUGGGCCAGCAUCGGUUUGGACGGUAGGAUAAUGACAUUGGAAUGUGGCACUACUUCGGUGGUGUGUUAUAGACUUUGUUGAUACUGCCUGUCUAGACCGAGGACUGCGUCUUUGACUAGGAUGCUGGCAUAAUGAUCCUAAACCGC
rnacentral:rRNA from 1 species